UACAGAGGGUGCGAGCGUUAAUCGGAUUUACUGGGCGUAAAGCGUGCGUAGGCGGUUGGGUAAGUCGGAUGUGAAAGCCCUGGGCUCAACCUGGGAAUGCCAUUCGAUACUGCCCGACUCGAGUUCGGUAGAGGGCGGUGGAACUCCAGGUGUAGCGGUGAAAUGCGUAGAUAUCUGGAAGAACACCAAUGGCGAAGGCAACCGCCUGGGCCUGGACUGACGCUGAGGCACGAAAGCGUGGGGAGCAAACAGG
rnacentral:rRNA from 1 species